GAUGAACGCUAGCGGCAGGCUUAACACAUGCAAGUCGAGGGGUAUAGUUCUUCGGAGCUAGAGACCGGCGCACGGGUGCGUAACGCGUAUGCAAUCUGCCUUUCACAGAGGGAUAGCCCAGAGAAAUUUGGAUUAAUACCUCAUAGUAUUAUAGACUGGCAUCGGUUUAUAAUUAAAGUCACAACGGUGAAAGAUGAGCAUGCGUCCCAUUAGCUAGUUGGUAAGGUAACGGCUUACCAAGGCGACGAUGGGUAGGGGUCCUGGGAGGGAGAUCCCCCACACUGGUACUGAGACACGGACCAGACUCCUACGGGAGGCAGCAGUGAGGAAUAUUGGUCAAUGGACGCAAGUCUGAACCAGCCAUGCCGCGUGCAGGAUGACGGUCCUAUGGAUUGUAAGCUGCUUUUGUACGAGAAGAAACACUCCUACGUGUAGGAGCUUGACGGUAUCGUAAGAAUAAGGAUCGGCUAACUCCGUGUCAGCCGCCGCAGUAACAC
rnacentral:rRNA from 1 species